rnacentral:rRNA from 1 species
UACGUGCCAGCAGNCGCGGUAAUACGUAGGUCCCGAGCGUUGUCNGGAUUUAUUGGGCGUAAAGGGAGCGCAGGCGGUUUAGUAAGUNUGAAGUUAAAGGCAUUGGCUCAACCAAUGUAUGCUUUGGAAACUGUUAGACUUGAGUGCAGAAGGGGAGAGUGGAAUUCCAUGUGUAGCGGUGAAAUGCGUAGAUAUAUGGAGGAACACCGGUGGCGAAAGCGGCUCUCUGGUCUGUCACUGACGCUGAGGCUCGAAAGCGUGGGUAGCGAACAGGAUUAGAUACCCUGGUAGUCCACGCCGUAAACGCUGAGUGCUAGGUGUUAGGUCCUUUCCGGGACUUAGUGCCGACGCUAACGCAUUAAGCACUCCGCCUGGGGAGUACGACCGCAAGGUUGAAACUCAAAGGAAUUGACGGGGGCCCGCACAAGCGGUGGAGCAUGUGGUUUAAUUCGAAGCAACGCGAAGAACCUUACCAGGUCUUGACAUCCCGAUGCCCGCUCUAGAGAUAGAGUUUUUCUUCGGAACAUCGGAGACAGGUGGUGCAUGGUUGUCGUCAGCUCGUGUCGUGAGAUGUUGGGUUAAGUCCCGCAACGAGCGCAACCCUUAUUGUUAGUUGCCAUCAUUAAGUUGGGCACUCUAGCGAGACUGCCGGUAAUAAACCGGAGGAAGGUGGGGAUGACGUCAAAUCAUCAUGCCCCUUAUGACCUGGGCUACACACGUGCUACAAUGGUUGGUACAACGAGUCGCAAGCCGGUGACGGCAAGCUAAUCUCUGAAAGCCAAUCUCAGUUCGGAUUGUAGGCUGCAACUCGCCUACAUGAAGUCGGAAUCGCUAGUAAUCGCGGAUCAGCACGCCGCGGUGAAUACGUUCCCGGGCCUUGUACACACCGCCCGUCACACCACGAGAGUUUGUAACACCCAAAGUCGGUGAG